rnacentral:tRNA from 1 species
GCCGACGUAGCUCAGUGGUAGAGCAGCUGAUUCGUAAUCAGCAGGUCGUCGGUUCAAAUCCGACCGUCGGCUCCA